rnacentral:rRNA from 1 species
AGACCCGAAACCCGGUGAUCUAGCCAUGGGCAGGUUGAAGGUUGGGUAACACUAACUGGAGGACCGAACCGACUAAUGUUGAAAAAUUAGCGGAUGACCUGUGGCUGGGGGUGAAAGGCCAAUCAAACCGGGAGAUAGCUGGUUCUCCCCGAAAGCUAUUUAGGUAGCGCCUCGUGAAUUCAUCUCCGGGGGUAGAGCACUGUUUCGGCUAGGGGGCCAUCCCGGCUUACCAACCCGAUGCAAACUGCGAAUACCGGAGAAUGUUAUCACGGGAGACACACGGCGGGUGCUAACGUCCGUCGUGAAGAGGGAAACAACCCAGACCGCCAGCUAAGGUCCCAAAGUCAUGGUUAAGUGGGAAACGAUGUGGGAAGGCCCAGACAGCCAGGAUGUUGGCUUAGAAGCAGCCAUCAUUUAAAGAAAGCGUAAUAGCUCACUGGUCGAGUCGGCCUGCGCGGAAGAUGUAACGGGGCUAAACCAUGCACCGAAGCUGCGGCAGCGACACUCAGGUGUUGUUGGGUAGGGGAGCGUUCUGUAAGCCUGUGAAGGUGGCCUGUGAGGGUUGCUGGAGGUAUCAGAAGUGCGAAUGCUGACAUAAGUAACGAUAAAGCGGGUGAAAAGCCCGCUCGCCGGAAGACCAAGGGUUCCUGUCCAACGUUAAUCGGGGCAGGGUGAGUCGACCCCUAAGGCGAGGCCGAAAG